rnacentral:rRNA from 1 species
CGUAGGGUGCAAGCGUUAAUCGGAAUUACUGGGCGUAAAGCGUGCGCAGGCGGUUUUGUAAGACAGGCGUGAAAUCCCCCGGGCUCAACCUGGGAAUGGCGCUUGUGACUGCAAAGCUGGAGUGCGGCAGAGGGGGAUGGAAUUCCGCGUGUAGCAGUGAAAUGCGUAGAUAUGCGGAGGAACACCGAUGGCGAAGGCAAUCCCCUGGGCCUGCACUGACGCUCAUGCACGAAAGCGUGGGGAGCAAACAGGAUUAGAUACCCUGGUAGUCCACGCCCUAAACGAUGUCAACUGGUUGUUGGGUCUCUUCUGACUCAGUAACGAAGCUAACGCGUGAAGUUGACCGCCUGGGGAGUACGGCCGCAAGGUUG